AGGAUAAACGCUGGCGGCGUGCCUAACACAUGCAAGUCGAACGCGCUUUCGGGCUUCGGUGCGAGAGCGAGUGGCGGACGGGUGAGUAACACAUGGGUACCUACCUUGGAGUGAGGGAUACCGGCGAGAAAUCGCCGACAAUACCGCAUAGGCUUCUUCACAAGGGAAGCAAAGUGACGCGAGUCACGCUUUGAGAUGGGCCUGUGGCCGAUUAGCUAGUUGGGGGGUAACGGCUUCCCAAGGCGACGAUCGGUAGCUGGUCUGAGAGGACGAUCAGCCACACUGGGAUUGAGAACGGCCCAGACUCCUACGGGGGGCAGCAGUGAGGAAUUUUCCGCAAUGGAGGCAACUCUGACGGAGCAACGCCGCGUGCAGGAGGAAGGUUUUCGGGUUGUAAACUGCUUUUCUGUGAGACGAGAACGGACGGUAUCACAGGAAUCAGCCCCGGCUAACUACGUGCCAGCAGCCGCGGUAA
rnacentral:rRNA from 1 species